AGAUCAGAAUGCUGCGGUGAAUACGUUCCCGGGCCUUGUACACACCGCCCGUCACACCAUGGGAGUCUAUUGCACCAGAAGUAGGUAGCCUAACGAAAGAGGGCGCUUACCACGGUGUGGUCGAUGACUGGGGUGAAGUCGUAACAAGGUAGCCGUAGGGGAACCUGCGGCUGGAUCACCUCCUUAA
rnacentral:rRNA from 1 species